UCCUACUCAGUUCUCGGUUAUUUAUGCAUCCGUAUGAGCUAAUGGCCAAAGUUUGCCACUUAUGUGUUGAGCACCAGAGACUAAGUGAUCCUGAUAGUGAUAAGAACCAGAUGAGAAAAAUUGCACCCAAAAUCCUUCAACUCCUCACGGAAUGGACGGAAACAUUUCCCUAUGAUUUUCGGGAUGAAAGAAUGAUGAGAAACUUAAAAGAUCUGGCUCACCGAAUAGCCAGUGGCGAAGAGUAAAUUUUUCUAAAAUUGCGGAAUAGGCUGGGUGCGGUGGCUCAUGCCUGUAAUCCCAGCACUUUGGGAGGCUGAAGCAGGCAGAUCACCUGAAGUCGGGAGUUCAAGACCAGCCUGACCACCAUGGAGAAACCCCAUUUCUACCAAAGAUACACAAUUAGCCAGGUGUGGUGGUGCAUGCCUAUAAUCCCAGCUACUUGGGAGGCUGAGGCAGGAGAAUUGCUUGAACCCGGGAGGCAGAAAUUGUGGUGAGCCAAGAUCGUGCCAUUGCACUCCAGCCUGGGCAACAAGAGUGAAACUCCGCCUCAAGAAAAAAGAAUUGCAAAAUAAAAAUCUUUCAGCAGAUAUGCUGGUAAAGCAUUGCUUCUCACACUUGGCUUAUACAAGGAUCAGCUGAGGAGCAUCC
rnacentral:lncRNA from 10 species